UCCCCAUGAGGGGACGGCAGCACUGGAGGGUCCUCAUAAGGGGAUGGCAGCACUGGGGGGUUCUCCACGAGGGGAUGGCGGCACUGAGGGGGUCCCCACGAGGGGACGGCGGCAUUGGAGUGUGUCCUCAUGAGGGGAUGGUGGCACUGGGGGAGUCCCCGUGGCUGCUACACCCCGUCGCCACGGCAGGCAGGGACGAUCGCCACAGCACACACAUGUCCCCGCCGGGCCCCCGUGCGGCAGGGCCGGGCUGUCCCCGCCCGCCCUCCCUAACCCGCCAUGUCGGGGGCGGGGCCGCUCCCGCCCUCACAGCGAUGGCGGCGGCUCGGGGGCCUUCGUGUGGGCUCUGUGAGGGCUCUGUGAGGCACCCGAAUUUAGGAGCUCGCUAAACACAGACACACAUCCUAGUUUGGGAAAGGACGCACUGUUCAUCCCGCUCAUUGCGCCUCCACAAAUCAGGCAGCCCAAGGGGUGAAAACUCAUCUCUUUUAUGCAGUAAAGUUCACACGAGCCCGCCCGCCUAAUACAUAUUUUCUUGGGUGAUGUGAUCUUACCUGAAACACAAAGCUCUUUUCUUCAUUCAGCAGCUUCUGUUGUAGAAGUUACCAAAAGUUAUCUGGCAACUUCAGUUUUGUUUACAAAAGGUGAAAAAAAUCAGUCUGGGGACUGAUAAUUCGACUUGAAGGGCACAUUGUUUAUUCUGUUUAUUCUUCACAGGGUGCAAGGUGGAGGUUUCCACUAAAGAAACACACCAAAGGUAUCCUCUGUCCUGGAGGUUAUCAGAAGUUAUCUGACGACAUCAGUUAUGUUUAGGAAAGGUGGGAAAACUCAUCCCAGGGACAGACAGAAAGACAAACAUCCACCUCCACCUGCCUGUGCACUGAUGGUUUAAGUUCUUUAUUAAAUCUAUGUACUGUUCUUUAUUAAAUCUUUUUGCACCUACAAGUUUUAUUUUCCAUCUUAUGUUGCCUCCUGUGCUGUGCAGGGGAGUUCUGGGAUUUUUUGCAAACUAUGUCAAAUAUUUUUUAAUAAAUUCCUCAGGGGUAUUUCUCAGAAUGAAUCAAAGGCAAAAGUCCUCACUUAAUACCCUCGAGAGGAGAACAAGCAGGAGUUUCCAGAUCACCUUUGGAGUUAUAACACUGAAAAGCAUCUCACUCAUUCCUGCCUCAGCCCUGCAGUCCCUCAUGUCUCUUAGUCACUGUUUCCAGGCAGGGAAUUAAUUUAUAAUAGUCAGGAUUUAUUCCCCUAAGAAUGGUGGGAACAAAGUUUAAAAAUCAUAUAGAUAACAACCCAUUUUAGAGAAUAUAAUUUUCUCUAGGUGGUGAAAUAACUAGUUCUGAAACUUGUGGUAUCUGGUGCCUAUAGGGAAUUUGGGUAGUGAGUGAGGGGCACAAGCAGCUCCUGUUUUAAGAAAGCAGCUUCACCUUUGCUGCCAUUUUUAUUGGUGAAUCACAUUUUGAUAUAACAUAAGGACUGUAUAAAAAACAACCCCCUUGUUACUGAAGCCUUUUCUACCUGCAUUUCUCUGUCUGACCAACAUAACCUCAGAUGUGUUGGAAAAUGUACAGUGGUGUCUUCUACCUUCUGGCUGUGGCAACUGAGUGGUAUUUGGGGGUUUUUUUGUAUUCUUUUUUCAUAAUGUGACUAAAGCUCAGGAAUGUCAUCCUUCUUGUGAGCCUUUUCUAAAUGUCAAGUGAAGCAGCUCAGAUUAUGAGUUAUGGAAGGAGCACUGGAUGGUAAGAAUUCCUAAAGAUAGAUGGGGAUGGAGUGCCAGUGCCGUGGAUUUGAAACUGACUUUGUGCUGGGACAGGAACAGAGCAAAACAUGGAAGUCCCUGUGGUUUGUUUGGGGUUUUUUUAAACUUUGAAUAGAGCUACUGUUCAAAUGUAUCCAGUUACUGGAUCCCAGCCAGCACCUCUGGAAUAGCUGUGAGAGAUACUUUUUUUUUUUUUCCCCUAAAGGGGAAAUUCUCCUGUCUGAAAUACUUUCUUAAUUCCCAAAGUAGGUUUGGAAUGCAGUCACUGAGGUUUGUGCUGUAAUGAGUGAGUCACGGUCUGCUCAGCUUUUGGGAAUGGUGUGUGUACUGUUUGCAUUUGUCAACUGCUAAAUUGCUCCGGGAACAACACACUAAUUAAGAUGAGAUAUUGCAUAGUUUGUUUCCUGUUAAUUUGUCUCAGAGAAAGUGGAUAAUUGAUUUUGUUUUCCCUCAGAGGCUGGUGCCAAACAUACUGUGGGGAUUGAGACAUUUUUCAGGUGUUGAACCAAGUUGUUGGGGGUGCUGCUGUAGAAAGAGAUGAAAGAGCCAACUGACAUCAUUCUGGGGAAUCACAAGCAGUCUCAAACACAUCUCCAAAACUGGCAGUGUGACUGGGCCAAGCGUGGCAGGGGGGGCUGGGAGCCUCCUCUGUGUGGGUCAUGUGGACUCAUUGCCCCACCAGUGAGUUCAACCAGCUGUUCCUCGAGGUAAAAUCCAAAAGGUGAGGUGUGAUGAGUCACCUCCAGUGGGGUCGAUUUUUCCUUCUCUGUAACUGUAAAGAGAUUGCAGCCCUGGUGCAAGGAACACUGACACUUUGGAGAGAGAGAGUGCUGCCUGGCAGUAGAAAGCAGGGUUCUUUUUGGAGCUCUUUGUUACUGCUCUUCUAAAAUGGCUCGUGUUUUCUUACCCAAGGCUUACCUAAACACAGGCCUACAGCGCUCACAGCUGGAAAAAAGCUCAUACACUGCAUGUUCGUGAAAGGUGUGGGAGAGGCAGAGCGAGCACUGUUUAUCCUCUGGAGGGUGCUGUUGUUUUGUACUAACAGCAGAGAGGGCCCGCAAACCUCCGAGGGAACAUUUCGGGUGCUGUUUGCUUUAGGGAGGAUUAAGGAUGUGCUGUCCUUUUCUCCUUCUCAAAUCUCUCACGAAUCCUGUAUGUUGUGAUCCACCUGUUCUCCAGCAUUCCCGAGACUGGCUGAACUUAGCUAAUGACUCAGAUUUUUCUUAGCAAAUCCUCCUGAUCAGGACUAGGACUUUUUUUUUAACAUUUCUUAAAACUUCCCUUGAUCCCCCAGCCCCCAACAAUUGAGCUCUUUUUCAGCUGCGGGAUGAGUAUUUGUUGGCUCGGUGGAGGUAUUUCCUACUGUAAUGUGUGUGACAUUGUUCUAAUGGUCUUGAAUUUUAUUGCCUUGUUUUAUAACUCAUAAAGAUAUAACUGCAAUCCUAACAAAGGAGAUGAUGUCUUGGAUCAUUGCCUCUGUCAUUUUUCUUCCUUGUCAACACUGUUAUAGCCUUUUUAUCAGAGAGGGAACCAGUACCCUGUGUGCUGUAAGUAAAAUUCUGAACUCAGUUUAUAA